rnacentral:rRNA from 1 species
CCUACGGGAGGCAGCAGUGAGGAAUAUUGGUCAAUGGACGAGAGUCUGAACCAGCCAAGUAGCGUGAAGGAUGACUGCCCUAUGGGUUGUAAACUUCUUUUAUAAAGGAAUAAAACGAGGCACGUGUGCCUUUUUGCAUGUACUUUAUGAAUAAGGAUCGGCUAACUCCGUGCCAGCAGCCGCGGUAAUACGGAGGAUCCGAUCGUUAUCCGGAUUUAUUGGGUUUAAAGGGAGCGUAGAUGGGUUGUUAAGUCAGUUGUGAAAGUUUGCGGCUCAACCGUAAAAUUGCAAUUGAUACUGGCAGUCGUGAGUACAGUUGAGGUAGGCGGAAUUCGUGGUGUAGCGGUGAAAUGCUUAGAUAUCACGAAGAACCCCGAUUGCGAAGGCAGCUUACUAAACUGUGACUGACAUUGAUGCUCGAAAGUGUGGGUAUCAAACAGGAUUAGAUACCCUAGUAGUC